CUCUCAAAUAAAAUAAACUCUCAAAACUCUCUCAAAAUAAAUAAACUUAAAAAAGAAGGAGUGGAGCACUUGAUCCAGUUGACACUGAAGAGAGGGGAAUUGGGCUCUACCUCUUGAAGGGAGGAUUGUCAAAGAAUUUGUCGGCCCAUUUGAACACCACCGUCAUAGGUGAUCCAGGUGGUCAGUGGGAUGAGGAGUCCGACAAAACAUGGUGGAAGAGGUGGGUUUUGACUUGAAUUGGGAAGCAUUACCAGGAGAGAGAAGAGAAGCAGAAAAGGGCCUUGCAGUCUUACAGCAUCCUGUGGGCAAAGGCCUCAGACCGAAGGAGGAAAAGCACAUCCCUGCCGGUGAUGCUUGGGUUUCGGUGCCAUUCACUGAAGGGAGGAGUGCAGGAGGAGGAGGAGGAGGAAGGGAGGAGAGGAGUGAGCGAGUGUGGGUCCUGCUGAGCUGGAGGCAUAUGUGGAGAAACCACAUGGAGCAGUGGGGUCUGAGGCUUGAUGAAAGGGUGUGGAGGAGGCUGCAAGCUGUGUCCCCUGUUCCCCAUGUCCCGUCCCCAGGGUCCCAGGAGAGGAUUUUGUCUUUGAAAGGGGAAGUCAGGCCCUUUGAAGACAGACUGUGCAUCCCCUCCUCUGGUGAUGUGAGGAGCUCUGCCCUCUUACUUACUCUGGUGAGGGGUCCCUUUUGCUCCAGCCAGCCAGGGCAAGUCAGGCUGGGGACCGGGGGGUGUUGUCUGAUUUGUCCGGGUGGUCUGUGACCUGAGGAUUUUCAUGUGUUUGCCCUGGGCUGUGACAGAACAGAGGCUGGAGGCUUGUCACGAUGUCUCGGGUUUUCCUCUAACCCACACUCUUAAGGCAGGUAAAAAUGCCCUUUAAAUGCACAUGCCUGCCAGGUUGCCCUUCUGAACCUGGGAAUCUUGUCGAGACACAUGAAUGAUUCUAUUAGGAAUAUGCAUUGACUAAGGGUAAAGGGAGAGAUUAUCUUCAUUCCAGACUUUUUUUUUCCCUUUUCCCUUAAAAAAAAAAAAAUAGGUGAUUUUCUUCCAGCAUUUUUCAUGCAGGAAAAUACCAUUCUGAACAACAAUGAUGUAAGAUUAUUUGAUUUUUUUUUUAAAUAUGGUACACAUUUUUAGGGUUCUGAUUUUUGCAUUAAUAAAAUUAUAUUCUAUGUUUCCAGCCAUGUUCUUCUGAUUAGCUUCAACUUGUAUCAAUGUUUUAUUCCUCCUUGGAGCUAAGACUAAGCUUAUUUUAAUGGUUGUAUCCCAUGGUAAGCGAGGUGAUGGCAAAUCACUUAAUUUUGUGUGCGUACUGCUCUGAUUACUGAAACGCUGUCUUUGAUAACAACGGAGGAGAUAAGCAAGAUAGAAAUAACAUUUGAGUAAUUCUGUGCCCUUCUGUCUCUGGAUCUGGAAAUAAAUGCACUUGAAUUUAUACAUUCUUGGUCCUUUAGGAACCAUAAAAACAUACCCUUACAUAUAUAUGAAAUGGCAAGAAACUGCAUAUUUAUUAAGAAUCAUGACCCUUAGGACUAGACAAGUCAAAUUAAAUCUCAUAAAAAUUUGUUAUGGAAAAUGAAUACACGGCACUAUUUUUUCUUUUAGGGUCUACUUAUUAACUUUGUCAUGUUUAAUAUGUUGCAGUUGCAAACAAAGGCAUAAAUGUAUGGUUCAUUCCUAAUUAAUUUAUGUAAUUGGGUUUUAUAAAUUUAGGUGGUUAGGAAGCUGUGUGUAACACACCCCAUUUGCUGCGUGCCGUAGCCAAUAAAGGCGUAAUAGAAAGAAAUAUAGUUUGAAGCUCACUUCAGUGGUAAAUAUAGAUUAGUUGUAAAUGAUAUCUUUGUAAUGUUUAUUUUAAAUUUUGCAAUGCUGCAGAUUUUCUGAACAUACCAAUUAAUGUUCUUAUUUGAACUAAUGACUAGUUAAUUACUAUAAAUUCUAAGUGCUCUAUCUCUGACAAUUAAAAAGUCUCUUACAGCUUUUGUAUUGUUCGCUCUGAAUUAGAUCAGCAGUCCAGUAUCGAGGAAAGCAGAGUAAGAAUGGAAGUGAAACAGCUACCUCUUUGACCAACAGCAAGCCCGUGGAGCCGUUUGAACACUGCGUCGUGUACCUUUGAGAAAUCACCGGAAUCACAGCAUUCUUUGUAAACAGAAUACCUUCCAUCCAGGGAGAGAAAUUGUCACACAGGGAAGGAAAAAAAAAAAAAGAAGGAUAAACUUUUCUCAAACAGCAGAAUGCCAUUCAGGGAUAACUGGAAAAAAGUAUCAGGGAAAAGCCGGAAAAAAAAAAAAAAGCAUUCCUCAUGUUGAGCCAGGCUGUGGAUCAAGAUGAAAGAAAAAUUAAAUUGUAUAUUGAAAGAGCCGUUAAUUGAGCUGCGCUGUAUUUAACGGGGAAGCAUCCGCUUCAAGCAGUCGAUACCGCUGAGGAUUUGUGAUGUACUGCAUCAUGAGACCGGCCGUUGGCUUUGGAGAAUGCAAACAGGGCUAAGGACAGAGCCCCACCAACUUUGGCUUUCGCCACCCCCCCCCCAUCUCUUCGGAAGGCAAGUGUCAACGUUUCCACGGAGGAAAUCCCGCUCGCGUGCGUUCAUAAUGGCCCUCAGUGCUGCAGCUUCUCGCCGGACGACUCCUGACACGCCACUGAGUCACCAAAACCUAUUUCCCAAAGAAAUCGUUGGGGGGCUUGUUUAAAGGCCUUCUAUGAGACUGGAUUUUCUCCCUCUUUCUAAUCAAUGUAAAUUCAAUUGCAUUUCGGAGGGUGGCCACAUAGUAUUUCAUCAUCUCUAAUAUCCAUUUAAAAAUGUUAGGUCUACCCAGUUAUAAUUCUCAAAAGUGGCCUCUCAGUGGCUUAAUAUGUUAUCUCCAUUCUCUGAGGCAGUGUUAAUUUCCUUUUGUAGUUAAUCUAUCCUACUACCAAAUUUAGUAUAUUUAUAGUUAAAGAUUCUGUUAAGAGCUAAGUGAUUUAAGUACAUCUGGGAUAAAGUGGCCUUGGCUUUAACUAUGGAACAAAUUUUCUUUAUUUCAUUCUCUUCACUGAUAAAUCCAUAGUAACUGGAGGCAUUUCUAGAAUUGUGGGCAAUUUGAGCCUCUAAAGUUUGAUUAAAGAUACUUCAGAUAUUCCUACUGAGAGGCUAGAGAGCUACGGGCCAUUUAUUCUUGGUUCUGAUUCUGGCCCUGGCCCAGCUCUGUGGCACAGGAUGGGUCACCCCGGCCUCAGUCCUAGUGCUGCUCAGCUCCUGUGAGUCUGGGGUGGGCAUUACUUCCCAGGAAGGUGAUGAUGGAGCCGGCUGGGUCUUCUCGUGGCCAUUGCAUAGGGCUCACUCAUCAGAAAGAGUCCAGAGACAUGGCUUUGAAGGGCGUUUUCGAUGCAUUCACUCCUUCAGUCUUUCAUUCGCUCAUCAAACCUGUAUUGUGGGCCUCCUGUGUACCGAGCAUUAUUUUGUUAGGGUUUUUGGGGAAGGCUUCAUUGGUGAGGUGACAUUUGGGCAGAGAGGGACAUGCAUGGAGUGCAGGAGAGAGCCCUGCCGACGGGAGAUCCCAUGUGUGAACUGCUUAAUAAAGUACCUGCAUCUGGAAGCUCCCGUGGAGGUUGGCAGUCACUGCUGCCGCUGCUGGUGCGUUGUCAGGGGCUACUUUAGGAAGCACAAAGAGUGGCACCUUGGAAAAUUAGACAAAAAUAGGCAGCUACACUGUGCGCCUACAGUUAACGCAUCAGUUCUGUUCCCGACUAUGAUGGGCCGAGUGUUUGUGUCCCCUCUGGAUUCAUACAUAUGCUGAAGCCUGAUGUCCAGAGUGAUGAUACUGGGAGGUGGAGGGGCGGGGGCUUUGGGAGGUGAUUACGGUUAGACGAGGCCAUGAGAGGGAGUCCCUCGUGAUGUGAAUAGUGCCCUUGGAGGCAGAGGAAGACAGAGGUCUCUGUCUGUGGGCGUGCACCGAAGAAAGGCAUGCGAGCACACAGUGCAGUAGUUGUCUGCAAGCUUAGAAGAGAGUUCUCCCCAGGAAUGAAUCACCUUGACCUUGGACUCCAGCCUCCAGAAUCGUCAGAAACACGUGUGUUAUUUGAGCCACGUGUGUGGAAAAGAGGUUCCAGAAGGAGGGGUUCAAGGUGAGUGUGGGUAACACGGAACAGCUGAUUGGGAAACCGGAGCAAGGCGUUUCAGUAUGGGUAUGAUUGACGAGGAUCUUCCUGGAAUGAAGAAUAAUGCCCCCAAAAUGACCACCCCCCCAAUAAAUAAAUAAAAGGCAUGAGGGAUGGAAGUUUGGUGGAGUGGGUGGAGGAACCUGUUUCAAAUCCAGGCUCUGCCGUGUGACCCCUCUGAGCUUUAGUUUGCUGUGGACGUUAGAGAUAAUGCAUAUUAGGUGUCUAGCCUGUGAUCGUGGUCACUCUAUUUUAUUUGAUCAGAUUCCCUUAUUUUUGGGGAUUUGGAAAGGGUGUGUGAGAGCAGCUAGCAGGUAAGCAUCCUGCUUGGGAUCCAGGGCUGUGAACUGCCCUUCCCAGUCAGGCACUCAGCAGAGAAACCCACCUCGUUCCAGAGAGCAGCGUCUGGCCUGAGCAACAGUGUGGCUGAGGACUUUGGGCUGUGGGCUUCUUAGGCCACCAGCUGUUGCUGCAGAAUGAAGAAGGCUCCCUAGAUGGAGCAGGAACAGAAGAUGCUUCUCUGAGGGUGGAGGUUGAUCAUUCUAGGUUGGCGGGGCACCCUCAAGGGAAACGAUUGCUGAGGCGUUCCUAGAGGACUCGGGCCCCGGGAGUCAUGGCGGUUUGCCAGGGGAUCCGGGAUGAGCGACCCUUUCUUUGACCACAUGUGUGGCUCAUGUUGGGUUCUAGAAAACCUUGUAAGGACUAAUAGCCUGGUUGUGCCAGGAUUUAUGUUUUGGAACUGAAAUGUGGGUGACUCCACCUGUAACCUUUUCAAGACAAGGUGGGGAGAAAAGCAAGGUCUGUUAUCUUGCUCUGUGAAUACAGGUUAGGUCCAAGGGGAAGGGUGUGCUGCCUAGAGAGGGAGGAGCCAAAAAGGAUGCGGGGCUUGGGAUGCACAUCACAACCUGGGCGGCCUGCCCAGCCCACCCUUGAUAGCUCAUGAGUCAUGCCAUACUGCUGGGAGGCGAAAGGGAAGCCAAAACUUUGUGACAAGGAGGUAGAACAUAAAGACCGGACUUGAACUGGUUAUAAUGGCUUGUACCAGUAAGGAUGCAUUAGGUUGUGAUGCAGUAACAAACAUCCCCAGAUCUCUGUGGCUCUGUAAAGGCAAUGAGUUUAUUUCCCACUCACAAGAAAAGGGAAGGGUGGGUGGAGUUCUGCUCAUUAAAGUCACUGACCUCAGCCCCAUCUCCUACCCAUGACUCUGUCAUUUGCAGUACAGAAAAGGGGACACGGCAGAUCAGUGCCUGCCCUUGAAAGCUUCUGCCCAGGAGUAUUACUUGCCUCUCCCCGCCCCCACCCCCACCCCCAGCCCCCUGCACAGAUCAUUAGCCAAAACAAGUCCUCAGCCAUGUCCAACUUUGGAUGGACAGGGAAGUGCAAGCCUACUGUGUACCCCAAAGAAGUGAAGAACCAGGGCAGCCGUGAGCAGUUUUAUUAACUGCCACAGUGGCAGUGGAAAUGGCAUCUAUUUUUAAUGUGGGUUGGAAAAUAAUUGGUCAGAUAUUGCAGGAUUUUUUUUUUUUUUUUUUUUUUUUAGAGGGUGGAAAAGCGCUUACAGAUUUAAAAGACCUGGCAGAGCACCUAUGUUUUAAACAGAAGGAAAAGCUGACAUCGGGGACCAGCGACACAGAGAUUUCACUUCUGUGCCAUGACAAAUA